GGUGAACUUGGAGAAAUCCCUUGGAAGAGAGAUUAGGUCAAUGGAAGAUUGUUUGUGGAAUUGGAAGAGGUCAGGGUCCCCCCCAUAGUACCUUUCCCACCCUAAUUCUCUCAGUAUCUGCUCCAGAGAAGAGUAAGAAGAUAUGACUUGGUCUGUUGGCAAGUGCACCAAAACCUUUCUCUUGGAAGUAUUUUGGGUAGUUAUUACGCCAUUAGGAUUGAAAACCCAAACUCCUGACAUUCUUU
rnacentral:misc_RNA from 1 species